GUUUAAGUAGUUUAUAUAAAACAUUGGUCUUGUAAGCCAAAAUUGAGAAUAAUCUCCUUAAACU
rnacentral:tRNA from 1 species